UUCACUGCAAAAACCGACCUCAGAAACUCGUCGAAGCUUUCCUUAAUGGCGCUCUCUCAGGUACUCGAAACGAAACCCUAAUCCCCGCUCUCUCUCUUCCAAUUGCCGAAAAUUGAACUUCUAUUUCUCUGAUUCCAUUGAAACGAGACCUAAAGGAAGACAAUUCAUCCCCCAGGAUAACCUUAUCCGAAGGUCCAAACACCAUCGGACGCGGCAACGUUUCAAUCACCGAUAAGCGUCUCAGCCGCAAACACAUCACCAUCACAACUUCCACCUCCGGCUCAGCCUCCUUAUCCGUGGAAGGAACGAACCCUGUGGGUUGUUAGGUCUUCCGGAGAGAGGAAGAAAGUUAACCCUCGUGGAGAGGUCUCAUUAGCUAAUGAUGAUCUUAUUGAAUUGAUCCCUGGUCAUCAGCUAGUGUUGCCAGGAAGCCAUGAAAGAUCUGCUAAGAAAGCUCGGAAGGAAGGAGAUGACAGUGAUGAUGUGGAGGCAAUUCCAAGUUACCUUCAACGUUUCGGCUUUUGAGUGUUAACGGAUUUAUUGCCUGAUUGGGCUAGCACCUCUUGUGUUUCCAUUAAUGAUGUCAUUGAGGUUAGUCUUACAGUAGUUUGAUUGUUUUGUUCAGAGGAAGAAGAAGAGAGAGAGAGAGAGAUGAUUGUGGAGGAAGUGUCGUUGCCUAUUGGUAGGAGAGGAGAAAGUUAUCACCUGCAACGCGUUUACCGUAAGUUAGAAAGUUCUGUCUCGCUUUUUGAGUUCUGUACGUUCUAGAUACGUACAUUUGCUAAAAGUAUUUUUCUUAGCGUUUAUAUGUUUGUUCACUGAUUAUGUAAAAUUAUGGAAUGAGAUUCCACACUAUUAAUCAUAGAGACUCGCACCAUUUCAUUAUGUUUCAA